AACUGAUACUACCUGCGGGAACCUGCGGAGGGAUCAUUACAGGACUCGCAAGACUCCUACAACCCUGUGAACCUACUAUACGAACGUUGCUUCGGCGGGUGCGCCCCGGGGAUUCGUUCCCGCGGCGCGUCAGCCCGCCGGCAGCCUACAAAUUCUGUUUCUUUGCGUUGGCAUCUCGAGAAAAACAAAUAAGUUAAAACUUUCAGCAAUGGAUCUCU
rnacentral:misc_RNA from 1 species